AGCGAACGCUGGCGGUAGGCCUAACACAUGCAAGUCGAACGGCAGCACAGGAGAGCUUGCUCUCUGGGUGGCGAGUGGCGGACGGGUGAGGAAUACAUCGGAAUCUACUCUGUCGUGGGGGAUAACGUAGGGAAACUUACGCUAAUACCGCAUACGACCUACGGGUGAAAGCAGGGGACCUUCGGGCCUUGCGCGAUUGAAUGAGCCGAUGUCGGAUUAGCUAGUGGGCGGGGUAAAGGCCCACCAAGGCGACGAUCCGUAGCUGGGCUGAGAGGAAGCUCACCCACACUGGAACUGAGACACAGUCGAGAGUCCUACGGGGGGCAGCAGUGGGGAAUAUUGGACAAGGGGCGAAAGCCUGAUCCAGCCAUACCGCGUGGGUGAAGAAGGCCUUCGGGUUGUAAAGCCCUUUUGUUGGGAAAGAAAUCCAGCUGGCUAAUACCCGGUUGGGAUGACGGUACCCAAAGAAUAAGCACCGGCUAACUUCGUGCCAGCCGCCGCCGUAA
rnacentral:rRNA from 1 species